GAUGAACGCUGGCGGCGUGCCUAAUACAUGCAAGUCGAGCGAAUGGAUUAAGAGCUUGCUCUCAUGAAGUUAGCGGCGGACGGGUGAGUAACACGUGGGUAACCUGCCCAUAAGACUGGGAUAACUCCGGGAAACCGGGGCUAAUACCGGAUAACAUUUUGAACCGCAUGGUUCGAAAUUGAACGGCGGCUUCGGCUGUCCCUUAUGGAUGGACCCGCGUCGCAUUAGCUAGUUGGUGAGGUAACGGCUCACCAAGGCAACGAUGCGUAGCCGACCUGAGAGGGUGAUCGGCCACACUGGGACUGAGACACGGCCCAGACUCGUACGGGAGGCAGCAGUAGGGAAUCUUCCGAAAUGGACGAAAGUCUGACGGAGCAACGCCGCGUGAGGGAUGAAGGCUUUCGGGUCGUAAAACUCUGUUGUUAGGGAAGAACAAGUGCUAGUUGAAUAAGCUGGCACCUUGACGGUACCUAACCAGAAAGCCACGGCUAACUACGUGCCAGCCGCCGCGGUAA
rnacentral:rRNA from 1 species